rnacentral:lncRNA from 1 species
UACAGUUGCUUGAGAGGCUGAUGGAUCUCUUCCUAAAAUUUGGUGGACUCACGACACUCGUGGCACACCAAUCUCACUUCCCGAACCCUAGGUAGAAACCCUAGGGUACACACCAAAAAUCCUGCAUCCAAUUUUCUCUCUUUUCUUUCUUUUUCUCUCAGAAGGUUUUGGACCUUCACCUCACACACAAGCCUUCCUCACACCCCACUUUCUUUCUCUUAAUUUUUCUGCGCACGCCCCACCUUUCUGCCAUUUUUAAAACAACAUCGAACGUGUCUUAUCCGCGUGAGAGGAUAAAGAUAAGUGGUUACACAUUUGAAUUCAAAUCAAAUUUGAAUUAAAACAAAAACCAACUUAUCCCUAUCCUUUUGGGCGUGAGAAGAGAAGGGGCGUGACUCUUUGUGCGUGGAAAAUGUUUCACGAGAAACCUUUUCUCGUGUAAGUAAUGUGGUGCACAAAAUGGAUAAGGAUGAAGGGGCAAGUGAUAAGUUAUCCAUUCAAAUUC